rnacentral:rRNA from 1 species
GGCGUAACGUUGAAAAGUUACGCC